rnacentral:rRNA from 1 species
GCACUUUGAAGAGAGAGUUAAAGAGGACGUGAAACCGAUGAGAUGGAAACGGACAGAGCUAGCGUAUCUGGCCUGCAUUCAGCUUGUGCGGUCGCUACCGAUGAAUCGCUGAUCUCCAGAUUGGGACUGUUGACUAGUCGGUCGGUGGCUGUAUAGUGCAUUUGCAGGUGGAGUGCGUCGAGGCAUCCGGGUUGGCGGCAUGAACUCAGCUUUGAGGCCAGCUUGCUGGUACCCGGGCUGGGGGACUUUGUGCUGUUCGUUCUGGGUGUUCACACACAAUUGAAGGGGGCUUUGGUAGGGUGCCGAGCUGGGUGUCGGUGGCGGUCGCUUGCGACACGUGCUGUGCACACAGUUCGGUCCUUGCCGAGCUCACUCCAUCUAUCUCGGCGUAAAAGCUGGUCAUCUUUCCGACCCGUCUUGAAACACGGACCAAGGAGUUUAUCGUGUGCGCGAGUCAUUGGGCGUUCAAAACCCAAAGGCGCAAUGAAAGUGAACGUUUCCGUUAGGAGCCAACGUGCGAUCCUGGUCACCACGGUGGCCGGGCGCAGCAUGGCCCCAUCCUGACUGCUUGCAGUGGGGUGGAGGAAGAGCGUACGCGGUGAGACCCGAAAGAUGGUGAACUAUUCCUGAGCAGGAUAAAGCCAGAGGAAACUCUGGUGGAAGUCCGAAGCGAUUCUGACGUGCAAAUCGAUCGUCUGACUUG